GACGAACGCUGGCGGCGUGCUUAACACAUGCAAGUCGAACGGAAAGGCCCUGCUUUUGUGGGGUGCUCGAGUGGCGAACGGGUGAGUAACACGUGAGUAACCUGCCCUUGACUUUGGGAUAGCUUCAGGAAACUGGGGCUAAUACCGGAUAGGAGCUCCUGCUGCAUGGUGGGGGUUGGAAAGUUUCGGCGGUUGGGGAUGGACUCGCGGCUUAUCAGCUUGUUGGUGGGGUAGUGGCUUACCAAGGCUUUGACGGGUAGCCGGCCUGAGAGGGUGACCGGCCACAUUGGGACUGAGAUACGGCCCAGACUCCUACGGGAGGCAGCAGUGGGGAAUAUUGCACAAUGGGCGGAAGCCUGAUGCAGCAACGCCGCGUGCGGGAUGACGGCCUUCGGGUUGUAAACCGCUUUCGCCUGUGACGAAGCGUGAGUGACGGAAAUGGGUAAAGAAGCACCGGCUAACUACGUG
rnacentral:rRNA from 1 species